UGGGGGAUAUUGCACAAUGGGCGAAAGCCUGAUGCAGCGACGCCGCGUGGGGGAUGAAGGCCUUCGGGUUGUAAACUUCUUUUGCUCUGAACAAGGCAUGCCUUUGGGGUGUGUUGAGUGUAGGGGUUGAUUAGCGCCGGCUAACUACGUGCCAGCAGCCGCGGUAAUACGUAGGGCGCGAGCGUUGUCCGGAAUUAUUGGGCGUAAAGGGCUUGUAGGUGGCUGGUUGCGUCUGUCGUGAAAGCUCAUGGCUUAACUGUGGGUUUGCGGUGGGUACGGGCUGGCUUGAGUGCAGUAGGGGAGGCUGGAAUUCCUGGUGUAGCGGUGGAAUGCGCAGAUAUCAGGAGGAAUACCGGUGGCGAAGGCGGGCCUCUGGGCUGUUACUGACGCUGAGGAGCGAAAGCGUGGGGAGCGAACAGG
rnacentral:rRNA from 1 species